AAUAGUAUAGUUUAAAGGUAAAAUAGUGAGCUUAUCUCAUACAUUGAAGGUUCAAGUCCUUCUACUAUUU
rnacentral:tRNA from 1 species